CAACCAUGUGUGCUAAACUGGGCUGUAUGAUCAACCCCAUGGUCUACUUCCUGUCCAACAAGGGCUUCAGAAACAAGACCCUGCGAAUGCUACGGUGGAGAAAGAGAGAAACCGCCGACGGCUCUGUGGUUCAAAGAGAACUGCUCAAAAAGUUUGACAAGAUAACUAAAGAUGGCAUCUACUUGGGAACAGAAACAAUCAUUAUGGAGAAAUCAGAAACUAUGUUCUGAGCCAAGUGACAGCUUUCUAGAGAUUUCAAAACAAAUUGAAGCUUCAAGGCUAUGGCCACAACAUCCGAUCAUGAGACUGCCACAAGGCUGUGAUCUUAAGACUCGGAACUGUGAGUCAAACAUGUGGCCAGCAGGCAGACAUCACAGCUGGCCAUCUCACUGAAAGAUUCUAGAUUAAUUGAGACUUACACGCCAAAAACUACAAUAACAAUCAUUUCCUUCACA
rnacentral:sRNA from 1 species